rnacentral:rRNA from 1 species
UACAGAGGUCUCAAGCGUUGUUCGGAUUCAUUGGGCGUAAAGGGUGCGUAGGUGGCGCCAUAAGUCAGGUGUGAAAUCUCGGGGCUCAACCCCGAAACUGCACUUGAUACUGUGGUGCUCGAGUACUGGAGAGGAGAUUGGAAUUUACGGUGUAGCAGUGAAAUGCGUAGAUAUCGUGAGGAACACCAGAGGCGAAGGCGGCUACCUGGACAAUUGCUGACGCUCAGGCACGAAAGCGUGGGGAGCAAAAGGG